AGAGUUUGAUCAUGGCUCAGAAUGAACGCUGGCGGCGUGCUUAACACAUGCAAGUCGAACGAGAAAAUACCUGCUUGCAGGUAUGAGUAGAGUGGCGCCCGGGUGAGUAACGCGUGGAUAAUCUACCUUUGGAUCUGGGAUAACAUUGCGAAAGCGGUGCUAAUACCGGAUAAGAUCGUAAUUACUGCGGUAAUGACGAUGAAAGGCCGCCUAUCCUUGGAAGCGGUUGUCUGAAGAUGAGUCCGCGUACCAUUAGCUAGUAGGUGGGGUAAAGGCCUACCUAGGCGACGAUGGUUAGCUGGUCUGAGAGGAUGAUCAGCCACACUGGAACUGACACACGGUCCAGACUCCUACGGGAGGCAGCAGUGAGGAAUUUUGCGCAAUGGGGUAACCCCUGACGCAGCAACGCCGCGUGAGUGAUGAAGGCUUUUGGGUCGUAAAACUCUGUCAAUGGGAAAGAAAUUACAUAUGGUUAAUAUCUGUAUGUAUUGACGGUACCCAUGAAGGAAGCACCGGCUAACUCCGUGCCAGCAGCCGCGGUAAUACGGGGGGUGCAAGCGUUAUUCGGAAUUAUUGGGCGUAAAGGGCGCGUAGGCUGUAUAAUAGGUCAGAUGUGAAAGUUCAGGGCUCACCCCUGAAAGUGCAUUUGAAACCAUUAUACUUGAGUAUGGGAGAGGGAAGUGGAAUUCCAGGUGUAGAGGUGAAAUUCGUAGAUAUCUGGAGGAACACCGGUGGCGAAGGCGACUUCCUGGACCAAUACUGACGCUGAGGCGCGAAGGCGUGGGUAGCGAACAGGAUUAGAUACCCUGGUAGUCCACGCAGUAAACGUUGUACACUAGGCGUAGCGGGUAUUGACCCCUGCUGUGCCGGAGCAAACGCAUUAAGUGUACCGCCUGGGGAGUACGAUCGCAAGAUUAAAACUCAAAGGAAUUGACGGGGGCCCGCACAAGCGGUGGAGCAUGUGGUUUAAUUCGACGCAACGCGAAGAACCUUACCUGGAUUUGACAUCUUGGGAAUAUCUUAGAAAUUUGAUAGUGCCCUUCGGGGAGCCCAAAGACAGGUGCUACAUGGCUGUCGUCAGCUCGUGUCGUGAGAUGUUGGGUUAAGUCCCGCAACGAGCGCAACCCUUAUCUUUAGUUACCAUCAUUUAGUUGGGGACUCUAGAGAUACUGCCCCGGUUAACGGGGAGGAAGGUGGGGAUGACGUCAAGUCCUCAUGGCCUUUAUAUCCAGGGCUACACACGUGCUACAAUGGUAUGUACAAAGAGUUGCUAAGCCGCGAGGUCAAGCUAAUCUCAUAAAGCAUAUCUUAGUUCGGAUUGGAGUCUGCAACUCGACUCCAUGAAGUUGGAAUCGCUAGUAAUCGUAGAUCAGCAUGCUACGGUGAAUACGUUCCCGGGCCUUGUACACACCGCCCGUCACACCAUGAGAGUUGACUGUACCAGAAGUUGUUGAGGUAACCUUCGGGGGCCAGGCGCCUAAGGUAUGGUUGAUAAUUGGGGUGAAGUCGUAACAAGGUA
rnacentral:rRNA from 1 species